rnacentral:rRNA from 1 species
AUUGAACGCUGGCGGCAGGCUUAACACAUGCAAGUCGAGCGGUAACAGGAGAAGCUUGCUUCUCGCUGACGAGCGGCGGACGGGUGAGUAAUACUUAGGAAUCUACCUAGUAGUGGGGGAUAGCUCGGGGAAACUCGAAUUAAUACCGCAUACGACCUACGGGAGAAAGGGGGCAACUUGUUGCUCUCGCUAUUAGAUGAGCCUAAGUCGGAUUAGCUAGAUGGUGGGGUAAAGGCCUACCAUGGCGACGAUCUGUAGCUGGUCUGAGAGGAUGAUCAGCCACACCGGGACUGAGACACGGCCCGGACUCCUACGGGAGGCAGCAGUGGGGAAUAUUGGACAAUGGGGGCAACCCUGAUCCAGCCAUGCCGCGUGUGUGAAGAAGGCCUUUUGGUUGUAAAGCACUUUAAGCAGUGAAGAAGACUCCA